GACAAAUCUCAAGGGCUCGCACGGACUGCAAGAGGUGUAUUUUUAGCUUCUCGCCUCGACUGAAGUGUCAGGUGCAUUGAGUUAGCCGAGAUUGUCACCGAUUUAUAGCGAUUCCGCUAGUCGCCAUGUGAUUUCACACUAGCAAUGACAUUUGGACGGUGAAACGGUGAUGACCUUGUAAUGCCUUGAAUGAGUCCUAGCUAUAACAUCAAGACAUCGGCCAUUCUACAUCAAGCCCUACAUGUACCUGAAAACAAUUCGGCUGGGUUUUGCGUUAUAACUGUACGCGAUGUGACAUCAUUUGGCUUCGUCUAUGUGACCCUUUGUGAUAUUUGAGUAGCACUGAAUUUUUGGGACAUACAUGUAUGAUGGCCAUCAACCCUUGGCCCCUGGUAACGCGUCCACCUCUGUGGACUCGUCACUUGCGAGGCAGCACUCAAGAUGUUCCCAGGAGAUGAUCUUCAGGGUAACCAGGUCUUAAGACCGUAUACGUCUAUUUCAGAAACACUUUGACAGGCGAGAACACUCUACAUGUAUCCUAAGAGCAGCAAGAAGAUGAGGGGCCAAAGGUCGCGACAUCAGCUGAACAAGUCGUACCACUUGCCUUACAUCAUCACUUUGGCUCAGCCAUCCAGAACCAAGAACACA